GAUUAACGCUAGCGGCAGGCAUAAUACAUGCAAGUUGAACGGGAUUAGUUUAGCAAUAGACUAUGAGAGUGGCGCACGGGUGCGUAACACGUAUGCAACCUGCCCUUGACUGGAGAAUAGCCUCUCGAAAGAGAGAUUAAUGUUCCAUAACAUAAUGAUAGAGCAUUCUAUUAUUAUCAAAGCUCCGGCGGUCAAGGAUGGGCAUGCGGUUGAUUAGCUAGUUGGUGAGGUAACGGCUCACCAAGGCGACGAUCAAUAGGGGGUAUGAGAGGAUGUCCCCCCACACUGGUACUGAGACACGGACCAGACUCCUACGGGAGGCAGCAGUAGGGAAUAUUGGUCAAUGGAGGCAACUCUGAACCAGCCAUGCCGCGUGCAGGAAGACUGCCCUAUGGGUUGUAAACUGCUUUUGUACGGGAAGAAACCUUCGAAUGCGUUCGAAGUUGACGGUACCGUGAGAAUAAGGAUCGGCUAACUUCGUGCCAGCAGCCGCCGUAAUAC
rnacentral:rRNA from 1 species